rnacentral:lncRNA from 1 species
UUCAAUCCGAAAGGCAAGAAGAGAAUUCUCAGCAAUGGAGUAAAGAUGUGAUGCAAAAGAAUAGGAGAAGAGGAGAAAAAUAAGAUGAUAAAGAAAGGGAUUGAGAGAAAAUUCUAAUUGUAUUGGGAAAGGAAUUAAAAUUUUAGGGUAAUUAGGAAAACAAUGAUUAAAUACCUAGGGUUUUCAAAUUACCCCUUGGCUGCC